UUCCGUAGGUGAACCUGCGGAAGGAUCAUUACUGAGUAACGUGGUCUUUUAGACCCGCUACCCGCCCUAUGUCAUAUGUUGGACGAGGUCGUCUUUUAGGGGCGGCCUCCGACCCCACUUCCCGGGAAGCGUUGCGCCUCAUCAGGUCUAGGCCUUUGAUGGGGAUUGGGACCGCCCGGGGUCUUUUUCAAACCCUUUGUGAGAAAUCUGAAGUCUGAAGCGAAAGCUUAAAACAAAAUUGAAGCAAAACUUUCAACAACGGAUCUCUUGGCUCUGGCAACGAUGAAGAACGCAGCGAAACGCGAAAGGUAAUGCGAAUUGCAGAAUCAGUGAGUCAUCGAAUCUUUGAACGCACAUUGCGCCCUUUGGUAUUCCGAAGGGCACGCCUGUUCGAGCGCCAUUACACCCUCCAAGCUUUGCUUGAUGUUGGAUGUUGCGUUGGUUAAUUCUGACGCACGUCUGGAACGUGUAGGCGUCCGUCCUGUCGAGACACCUCGAGCGUAGCAAGACUUUCAGUCAUUUUCGCUUUUGUAGGGACUCCAGCGGACUGCCCCCUCUGAUUUAGGGAGUCAACCCCCUAAUCGACUCAAGAGUUUGGCCUCGGAUCAGGCGGGGAUACCCGCUGAACUUAA
rnacentral:rRNA from 1 species